GUUUGAUCCUGGCUCAGGAUGAACGCAGGCUGUGUGCCUAAUACAUGCAUGUCGAACGAAGUACUUGUACUUAGUGGCAAAUGGGUGAGUAACACGUACCUAACCUGCCUUUUAGAUUGGGACAACCACGGGAAACUGUGGCUAAUACCAAAUAUGUAUAAUUAACAUAUGUUUUUUAUAUGAAAGGAAGCGAUUGCUUUGCUAAAAGAUAGGGGUGCGCUACAUUAGCUUGUUGGUAGGGUAAAAGCCUACCAAGGCUAUGAUGUAUAGUGGGAUCGAGAGGUUGAACCACCACACUGGGAUUGAGAUACGGCCCAGACUCCUACGGGAGGCAGCAGUAGGGAAUAUUCCACAAUGAGCGAAAGCUUGAUGGAGCGACACAGCGUGUAGGAUGAAUGCCUUAGGGUUGUAAACUACUGUUAUAAGAGAAGAAUAGCUAAAAAAGGAAAUGUUUUUAGUCUGACGGUAUCUUAUCAGAAAGCAGUUGCAAACUAUGUGCCAGCAGCAGCGGUAAUACAUAGACUGCAAGCGUUAUCCGGAAUUAUUGGGCGUAAAGCAUUCGUAGGUUGUUUAUUAAGUUUGGUGUUAAAAACAAAAGCUCAACUUUUGUUUGCAUUAAAUACUAAUAGACUAGAGUUAUAAAGAGGUUAAUGGAACUCCAUAUGAAGCGGUGGAAUGCGUAGAUAUGUGGAAGAACACCAAUGGCGAAGGCAAUUAACUGGAUAUACACUGACACUGAGGGAUGAAAGCGUGGGGAGCAAACAGGAUUAGAUACCCUGGUAGUCCACGCUGUAAACGAUGUUUGUUAAUCGGUGGUGAAAUCACUGAUACAGCUAACGCAAUAAACAAACCGCCUGAGUAGUAUGCUCGCAAGAGUGAAACUUAAAGGAAUUGACGGGGAGCCGCACAAGCGGUGGAGCAUGUGGUUUAAUUCGAAGAUACGCGAAGCACCUUACCAACAUUUGACAUCUUUUGCAAAGGCAUAGAGAUAUGCUGGAGGAUAACAAAAAGACAGGUGGUGCAUGGCCGUCGUCAGCUCGUGCCGUGAGGUGUUGGGUUAAGUCCUAUAACGAGCGCAACCCUUUUCUUUAGUUACUAACAUUUAGUUGAGCACUCUAAAGAUACUGCCUAGGUAACUAGGAGGAAGGAGGGGAUGAGGUAGGUCAUCAUGCCUCUUACAUGUUGGGUUACACACGUGCUACAAUGGCAAAUACAAAGAGAAGCAAAAUCGUGAGGUGGAGCAAAUCUGUAAAAUUUGUCUCAGUUCGGAUUGGAGUCUGCAACUCGACUCCAUGAAGUAGGAAUCGCUAGUAAUCCUAGAUCAUCAAUGCUAGGGUGAAUACGUUCUCGGCUCUUGUACACACCGCCCGUCAAACCAUGGGAGUUGGUAAUACCCAAAGCUAGUUAGUUAACCAUUUAUUUGGAGGCAACUAUCUAAGGUAGGAUCAAUGACUGGGGUUAAGUCGUAACAAGGUAGCC
rnacentral:rRNA from 1 species